rnacentral:rRNA from 1 species
UACGUAGGUGGCAAGCGUUGUCCGGAUUUACUGGGCGUAAAGGGCGUGCAGGCGGUUUGUUAAGUGCAGAGUGAAAGCUCCCGGCUCAACUGGGAGAGGUCUUUGCAUACUGGCAAACUCGAGGGAGGCAGAGGAAAGUGGAAUUCCCGGUGUAGUGGUGAUAUGCGUAGAUAUCAGGAGGAACACCGAUGGCGAAGGCAGGUCUCUGGGCUGACACUGACGCUCAUGCACGAAAGCGUGGGGAGCAAACAGG